rnacentral:rRNA from 1 species
ACGCUCGACACCUACGGGAGCAGCAGUUGGGAAUAUUGGACAAUGGAGGAAACUCUGAUCCAGUGACGCCGCGUGAAGGAAGAAGGUCUUCGGAUUGUAAACUUAUUUUGUCAGGGAAGAAAAAAUGACUGUACCUGAAGAAAAAGCACCGGCUAACUACGUGCCAGCAGCCGCGGUAAUCUGAGGCGGGCGUGGCGAAGGACG